ACUGAUUUUUUUCAUUUUCCUGACAAAUAAAAACAACUGGACUAUCUGGAUCUGUGCUGGUGGAAGUUGGCAUAAUGGCAAAACAAACAGUACCAACAGUUUGCAUCUUAUUGGUUUUAUUCGUCACAGUCUUUGCUCAAGUGAUAGUUGGUGGGAAUUUCUACAACGACUGUCCAGGAAUUCCCUUCAUCCCUAUUUAUCUUUGUGGAGCCUUCUUUACCUUCAUUGCAUUGUGCAUAUGUGGGUCAUGCAACCUGCCUUGUUUGUCCGUGACCACCCUCUUCUUCAUUUGCUGGUAUAUUGCUGGUAAUGCAGUGAUCUACAGCUAUUAUGAACCAGACUACAGCUACUGCAACAAGACACUCUACCUUUUUGCAUUUUGGAGCACCAAUCUGACCAACGUCUUACUAUUUAUGCUUCUCUGUUGUUGCCAUGGUGAGGAUGAGGCUGAAAAUAAUAUUGAUGUUCAAGUAUAAAUACACACAGAAGGUCAAGAUUAGUGUGUAUGCUGUCUAAUGAGUGUUUUUAUGGGAAAUUAUUAAUACAGCAGCACUGAUAUUAUGAUUUAUGUGUAAAAUGCAGGAUUUAACAUGUUUAUGUUUUUGUAAAAAUGCUUUUGACAUUAGCAUUAACUUGAGCUUUUGAUUGAUUAUUAUUACAAAUACUAUUUUCAGCACUUGAUUACAUGUGUACAUAAAACAGGUUGGUUGAUGCUUUUCUGCCUCACUGAGCCACUGGCAGCUCAGUUAUUACAAACUCGAGAUUCUCAAAGGUACAAAAUGCACCAGGGAGAAUAUUUAUUUCAUAGAAUGCUGCAGCUGAAAAAAGUUUAUUCUUCAGUGGAAUUGUUAGUUAACUCCAGUGCUGUGCAAAAGUCUUUAGCCGCCCCUCAUUUCGGUUUAGUUUGUUCAGAAAACGGGAGGUGCCGAGUUUUUUGAAACCUGUGAAAAGACAUUCAUGGAAAUACAGUGUACACUGAAAGGAACAGGUCCAAGGAAGGAACAGUGGUGAACCAGCGACAGGGUCAUGGCCAAGGCUUAUUGAUGCAUGUGGGGAGUGAGAGCUGGCCUGUGUGGUGCGAUGCAGCAGUCGAGCUACUGUAGCUCGAAAAACAGCAGAAAAAGUUAAUGGUGGUUCUGAUAGUUUGUUGCACGUGGGGCUUCAUAACCGUAGAUCAGUCACAACGGUCACGUGAGCAUCAGAGCUGGACCACAGAGCAAGGAAGAAGGUGGCCUGAGCUAAUGAAUUGUGUUUUCUUUUACAUCACGGGCCAGGUGCAUGUGGGGAACACCUGGCACCAAUAUGCACCAUGGGAAGAAGGCUAGCCAUCACAGGCAGUGUGCUGUUUUUAGGAAAUGUCUUGUUGGGAAACCUUGGGUCCUGUCAGCCAUGUGGAUGUUACUUUAACAAGUACCACCCAAUCAUUAUUGCAGGUCAUGUAGACGCUGUCAUGGAGACAGUCUCUUUCACUUCCUUCAGGAUAAAGCGCCCUAACACAAUGCAAAAAUGGUUCAGGGUUGGUUUAAGGUGUGGACUCCUAAUUCCCUAGAUCUCAGUCAGACCUGAAGACCUAUUGCACAAAAAAACUAAAAAAAAAAAAAACACUAAAAAAAACAACAACAAGAUAAUCUGGCUGUUUGGAAGCAAAAUAUAGAUAAAUGAGGGGGGUCUCAAGACUUUUACUUAGUGCUUUAUUAACAACAGAAGUAUAGGAUUAUUGCAGAUAGUACCUGUAUUUAGCCUGUUAAUAACAAAUAUUCAAUAAAAGCACCACAUAUCCAUAUUAGGACAAGUGAUCUUCCUUCUAUAUGUUAAUGAUUUUAUUUACUCCUCUAGUAUUUUAUAUAAAGUAAUGUUUGCUAAUAAUACAAAUCUGUUUUGUCUCAUGAAAACUAGAUAAUCUCCAACAUAUUAUACAUUUAAUAGGUUAUUGUUUGCAAAAAUGUAAAAAAAAAUGUAAAAAGUAUCUGUAUUUAACUCAAACAGAAACUAGAAAAAUGUUGACAAUGUACGUAUCCAGAUAAAUGGUAGUGUUAUCAAGAGGGUAAAAUUUGCAAUAUUUUGGAAGGUUUGAUGACUUUGUGACUUCCAAGAGGCAAAUUGAUGGUUUUAUGAAAAAAGUUUCGAAAUAUGUUGUUUUAUUUUUUAAAAUUCAGAAAUUGUCCUGAAUGUGAAUUGUUGUGAUAAUUACAUGGUGGAAUAUGUGUCCGACUUAUUUUAGGAGAUUGCAGACGUUACAAAAAGAGUUAUAUUUAGCUGUAUCAUGGUCCAAGGUAGCUCUCCCUAAUCCUCUUCUUCAUUAUAGACUUCUGAAGUUGUUUAAAUAUAACAUCGUUCAUAAUGCCCGUGUAAUGCAUAAUGUUUUGUUUUGGUUUUUUAAGUGUCACUCUCCAGAUGUCACUGGAUUCAUGUUAUCUUUAAGGUAUUCUUAAGAUGUUUGACUGAUUUAGGUUAGUUGAUGAUGUCUUUUGGGAAUCAUAUAGAUAGAUAGAUAGAUAGAUAGAUAGAUAGAUAGAUAGAUAGAUAGAUAGAUAGAUAGAUAGAUAGAUAGAUAGAUAGAUAGAUACAUAUACAUGUAUUUCAUAUAUAGUCCACAUUUACCAAUUAUUCACAAAUCAUUAUUUCACAAAUAACUGGGUCAUAUUCAUUAUCAUGUUUGAAUUUGUAUUUUAGUUGAUUUGUGUUCUCUGUAUUACUGCAGGGUCUUUAUAAUAUAAAGCUCUUUCAGGCGACUUUUGUGAUUUAGAAAUAUAUAUAUUGAAAUGAAUUGAAUUCAAUUGAAUUUAAUGUGUGAUGUCACUUUAUUUGUAACAACCCCAGCCAGACAAUGGCUAAGCUUUCUGACAUUUUUGCAUGUUUUUAUUCAUGUUCAGCCUUAAGACGCCUUCCUUUUCCUUAAUAAUAUUAUUAUUCAUCUACAGGACAGAUGAAUCAUAAUAUGCUCUAAUAAAAAUAUAUAUAUAAACAACAACAGAUAUGUGCGUUAUUUCACAAAUGUGUACACUUGGACACGCGCACACACAACAAAAGAAGUCUAGCAUUAUCAGGAUGUACAUAACAAAUUUAGACACCUCAUCGUUAAAUAAACUUAAUUUUACUGCAUUUAAAACAUCAAUAAACAUCUCCUUGUUUUUGUUCAAUCUUAUUAAAACAUAAAAACUUUAAGUUACAGUUACACUGUACCUGACUUUCAGUCAAGAGAGUGAGUUAGAAAACACUCAUAAGGAAGUGCACCAAAAUUCCCAUUAUGUUAAAAAGUACAAAUGGUAAAAACAGCUUACCGCUCCUUCAAAAUGGGAGGAGCAUAAUUAUUAAUAUUAGUUGUCACAACUCCCAUAGUGGCUGCUGUCGUAAAAAAUCAGCCUGCUAAAAAUCAAUCUACUCGCCCCUCGUCCUCUUGGGGGCGCUCUCAGCUCGUGGGCUCACCUGCUCACAGAGUUCACCAGCGACUUCAGUGGACAUUGGAGCCGUCUGUUAGUGUGGAAAUUGCACAGGUAAAAUGUAUAAAAUGAAAAGGUGAACAUGGUGUUAAUUUGCAGCUGUACCUGACUGAUUGAAGCUUUCACCUCAGGAACCACAGCGAGGCGUAGCAGGUAAAACAGCUAUCAGGAUGAAGGUGUUUGACAGAUAUGCAAAAAACAAAACAAAAAAGAAAAUAAAGAAGAUUCAUUGAUCUGUGAAAGUGAGACUGAGGAAGAAAAAAAGCUGUGUUUAGUUCAGCUAAACACUGAUAAUCCCACUUUGACUCAGCCAAAAUCAAGUCCUUAAAGUCACAAACCACUUCAAGAACCUGUUUGAAGCUCAGAUCAUCUCUAAUUGGUUUGUUGAACAUUACACGUACUUCACUCCGGCAGCUCUGAAGGCUGGUAAUAGCAAGAUACAACUGCUGAAGCAGCCAGAGGGUCUUUGUGCUGUUCUGGUAGAUGUGCCGAUCUGCUUCUCCUACAUGAUUUGGUCCGUUGGCUUAUAUUUUAUUGUAAAUUUCCACAUGUAGCUUUUGCAAUGAACCAAAGAUAACAGACCUGCAAAAUGUCAGAUGCUGAAGUUUUAAUCUUAAGGACAGUUUUGUUUUUUCCACAGAUAUGUAGUGACAAACACAAGAAUCACAAUAGAAUAUAACAGAAUAAAGUUUGCCCACAUAUACUCUUGAGUGAUAUCCUAUUCUUAAUAUAUUUCAUUUAAUAUGAUGUCAGCCCACCCUUUUCCUUUUAUAACAAAACCCCGACACCCUGAAGCUGUGACAUCAACUCUGAGUGGGUUUUAGAUAGUUAAGCUAGUGCGUCACGCUCAUAGCGUCUUUAUAUUUCUAUUACUGUACAGACAGUCGGAAACCUCUCAGGAUGAUGCUAGCUAAGCCAACGCGAUUUCAGUUUUGUUAGCUAAUGAGUGAAAUGCGAAAGUAAGCCAUUAAACAGGAGUAGCUACACUGUAUACGACUUUGUUUGUUUGUUUGUUUGUUUUUCUCACCUUAAUAUUAGCUUUUAGUAAACCUCUUCCACCCAACUUAAGGUAGUUAAUCUGCGGCUCGACAUUCAGUUAAACAGUUUAUUUGGCAUUGAACGCUACACCAUCUGACAAACUAUGAUAUGCAACCAAAUUUGCGCUUAGUAACUAAUUCUGUUUCACCAGCAUUAAGGCCAAGGGCGUAGAUUUGGCAUGGACGGAAGGGACAUGUCCCCAUCAAUAUCCAGCGAUUAUUGAAUUGUCCCCACCAAUAAUUUGAUCUCUUCGAGUAAAGAAAAACAAAACCGAUAGAAAGAAAAAUAAACGAUCUGUCAACGUCUCAUUCACCCAGCGGUGCAGAAAGAGUUAAAUUACGUUCUCUACUGGAGUCCUAUGUGACAAAUAUGGCCAAUGUGAUUGUGCCUUUCAGGGAGCUCUGUUUAGUUUUAGCAGCGGCAAGCCUGCGCUGCGAGGACCUGCAAGGAGGAGAGGAGGAUGGCAGCAAAGAGGAAGAACCUGGAUAUAAGAAAGUAUUUUUCAAAGAAACCUGUAAGUCACUUAAAGUCAAGUUCACUCAUAAAAUGUGUCCGUCAUAAUAACGUUACAGGCUAUGCUAGGCUUUGGCCCACAUCAGUCUAAAAUUCUAUAUAACC
rnacentral:lncRNA from 1 species